GAAUGUAAAAUAAAUACAAAAGUAUCAUAAAUAUUUGUUUAUUAAAGCAAUUUCAUAUACAAAAAUAUUUGUCCUUUUUUAUAUUAGAUUGUUUAAUAUAGGCUUUAUGCAUGGUGAUUAAAGCGUGCGUUUACCACCGCCUGCGCGCUGUAAAGAGAUAAAUGCUAUGGCGAGAUCUCAUGUGACUCGAGAGAGCGUACGAACAUGAGUGAAUUUAAAACAGUCGUAAGCGUGCCACGCAUACGUGCGCUCGAUGUGAGCUGGAAAAGCGCAGAAAAGCUACCAUUAUUCUUAAAGAGACGACAAGAAUCUGAAAAAAGUUUGAGAAGAUCAAGAGAAGCAGAAAAAUAAUUGACAUUCUUUUUCAAAGAUCAAAU